GGUUGCAGUGAGCCAAGAUUGUGCCACUGACCUCCAGCCUGGGCAACAAAGUGAGACUCAGCCUAAAAAAAAAAAGGAACGAACUUUGUAAUUGUCCGUAGCUCUAGACCUUAUUUUAGGGUGCUAGCUGUAACUGUAAUCAGGAGGGUGCCAUGUAUAAAUAUAACAGAUACUGAGACAAAAGAAAACUAUUCCUGACAACAGUUUGCCCUCUUUCCCAAGAGAUUUAAGGAAUAACCAUAAAAUCUACCUCCUCCUUUCUCAAAUGGGGACUUCUUUGAUGUAAUGUAUCAGGGAGAAGAACAAGUUACCCUGGGUAUCAACCAGCACACACCAUUUCUGUCCUGAAAUGACAGCAAGAACAUUGAGUAGUAGUACUGUCUUACCGAGAGUCAAACAAAUGACUUGAAGGAAGAGACCAAGAAAAAUAUGUUUAGAAAAUCAUCUAGAAAUAGGAUUUUAUUUUAGUAAGCAAAGUGAACAAAAAAUACAAUUUUAUUUUGGCAAGUUACAAUUGCUUCCAUGAUUAAAUUUGUUUUCUAUUGAUUCUCCUGGGUCAUGUGUUGGAAAAAGUACUAUACUUAGAAUUAGGUAAUCUAAAUACUUCCUAGUUUUGCCAUUUGUUCUGUGACUUGGGCAAGUUAUUUAACCCACGUCUCACAUUCUUCAUCUGCAAAAAUGGAGUUAACCUACCUUGCCACCUCACAGGAAUGUCCCACAAUAAGUUUGCUAACAGCUAAGUAUCAUAUAAAUUAAAAUUAUCACUGUUAGUAUUACCACCUUCCUUCCCUCUCUCAUGUAAAAACUUGAACCAAUAAUAAAACAGGCAAAAGACACCAGACACAGUGGCUCAUGCCUGCAAUCUUAGCACUUUGGGAGGCUGAGCUGGGCAGAUCAUUUGAGGUCAGGAGUUCAAAACCAGCCUGACCAACAUGGUGAAAUCCUACCCAAUACAAAAAUUUGCUUGGUCUGGUGGCACAUGUCUGUAAUCCCAGCUACUCGGGAGGCUGGGGCAGGAGAAUUGCUUGAACCCAGGAGGUGGAGGUUGCAGUGAGCCACGAUCAUACCACUGCACUCCAACCUGGGUGACAGAGAGGAACUCCAUCUCAAAACGAAACAAAAAAAGCAACUUUGUCUUUCAGAAUUAUGGCCUAAAUCCAUCUGAAACAAACACUCAAGAAAUCUUUGGGAGAGCUAACAUCUACAAACAUAAACUUGGGAAAUACUUUAUAAAAUAGUCUUUAAAAAUCACCUUCAUCCACACAUAAGACAGUUUUAAAAGCUUUUUUUAACUAAAACACUAGAUUAACAAUCUUGGCAUUUUUAAACAUAUAUAAUUAUUCCCAUAUAUUAACUGUUUCAACAAAAAUAACUAUUUUUAUAUAAUCAUAUUAACUCUAGAAUAAAAAUACUGUUAUAGUGAGGUUUUUUUUCAAACAUUUAAGAGUCAAAUGUUUAACAAAAAAUAAAACAUUAUGAAGGAAGGAAGUACAUAUUUUAAUAAAAGGCUAAUAAACUGAAUCAGGUCAAUGAGAAGUAAAAUUUGUUGGUUUAUAAAACUAAGGCCUUCAAGUGACAGGGAGUCAUAGGAGAAAAAAAAAAAUCAAAACUAAGGCUUUAUUCAUUUAUAGGUGGCAAAAGAAAAAAUUUCUUAUUUCCCUAUUCCCUAAUGAUCUAAUGCAAACUAAAGCAGAGAGAAUUCAUUAGUUCACUCUUCCUUAGACACCAACAGCACCUAUUAAUUUGCUAAUGAAAUCAGACACAUGACUUCUCCAUGAUCAAUACUGUGACUUUACAUCAGUAGAGACACUACUUGAGCUGCACUGUCAUUGUCAUUGGGCUCCAGGAAGAGAAUUUCCUAAUGAAUCACUAAGAAGCUUCUUCAAGAGAUACAGGAGAGGCCAGUAUCAUAUUUUAAAAUAAAAAAAAAAGUAGAGAUAAUGCUUGGUCCAUUGAAAAAUAUUUACUAAACAUCUCUAAAAAGGAUUACAUAAUUAUCUCAACUACAAUAAUUAGAUGUGAAUUUCAAUUAUUUAGUAAUAUUUUCAAGGUUUACACUUUAAGUAUAGGCAUAUGCAAAAAUGAAAGCAUCAAUGAAAGUUUUAUUUAUAUAAAAAGAUUUCUGUUGGAAUGUUAAAAAUCUAAUAUUUUUAUUUUGAAAGCAAGUUGAUUUUUUUUUUUUUGAGACAGAGUCUCACCCUGUUGCCCA